UCUGAAAGGUUAACUCUUGCAAAAAAUUUGUAACGACCUGACCCGCUAACAAUAAUAACUUGGUGGUGUUACAAAUCCGACCCGCUAACAAUAAUAACUCGUUGAACUUACACCACCAGCUCAAAACACUUAAGUCCAGUUAUUAUUACUAAUAUGUCACUUACUUGUAAAGCUAUCACAUUCUCCCACAUUAUCCAAU
rnacentral:lncRNA from 1 species